AAUAAUAAUACUUUGCCUUGGACCUUUUGUAUUGGUACAAAUAUAGCUUCACUUUAGACUGUGCAUUUUGGGGGAUUUUCCCUUCUGUGCCUUUUUUACUGUAAUUGUGUUAAAUUUUUACACAUUUGGAACCAAAGGUCAUGUAUGUUGGAUGUGUUGUUGAACCAAAGGCCAUGUAUGUUGGAUGUGUUGUUGAACCAAAGGCCAUGUAUGUUGGAUGUAUUGUUGAACCAAAGGUCAUGUAUGUUGGAUGUGUUGUUGAACCAAAGGCCAUGUAUGUUGGAUGUGUUGUUGAACCAAAGGUCAUGUAUGUUGGAUGUGUUGUUGAACCAAAGGCCAUGUAUGUUGGAUGUGUUGUUGAACCAAAGGUCAUGUAUGUUGGAUGUGUUGUUGAACCAAAGGCCAUGUAUGUUGGAUGUGUUGUUGAACCAAAGGUCAUGUAUGUUGGAUGUGUUGUUGAACCAAAGGCCAUGUAUGUUGGAUGUGUUGUUGAACCAAAGGCCAUGUAUGUUGGAUGUGUUGUUGAACCAAAGGCCAUGUAUGUUGGAUGUGUUGUUGAACCAAAGGUCAUGUAUGUUGGAUGUGUUGUUGAACCAAAGGCCAUGUAUGUUGGAUGUGUUGUUGAACCAAAGGCCAUGUAUGUUGGAUGUGUUGUUGAACCAAAGGCCAUGUAUGUUGGAUGUGUUGUUGAACCAAAGGCCAUGUAUGUUGGAUGUGUUGUUGAACCAAAGGCCAU